AUAAGUAGGCUUGCUAAGGCAAAGGGACAUAACUCGAGCUUCUCUAUUUUUAUAUGUCUCUGACGUCAGACACAUUUUUGACAUCGGGGUUAGUUGUCUUUUACGGCUUAUUUCUAAAUGAAUACGAACGCUGUGUUCCGAAUGAUCAAGGAACUAUUUUUGGAGAUGCUCCUAGCGCAUGCCUUUAGCUAGAAAGACCGUAAAGCACGUGUUUACUAAGGAAAACAACGAGGAGAAAGCAAACGACAUGUUAGAUGGUAAGAAAUGGUUUUUCAUGGACCCCACAUGGCGCAUACAGACGACGUUAAUGCUGUUCCUUGUUAAUUUUUGAAGACACUGAGGAAAAGAACUCCAUAAAGGCCAGAAUAGCCUGAUGGCCAGAUUAGCCGGACGUGUUAAUUAAUUUGUUAAUUAAAAAAUAAAAGUGUUUGUUUAAAAAUUCAAA